rnacentral:rRNA from 1 species
GAUGAACGCUGGCGGCGUGCCUAACACAUGCAAGUCGAACGAACAGACGCUGCUCUUGCUCGUCGGUCGUUUGCGGCGCGCGUGUGAGUAACACGUGUAUCCCCUCCCUCUCUGUCUGGGAUAUUCACGGGAAACCGGAUCAUAUCCCGUAUAAUCUCCUGCUCCGCAGGGGGCGAUGGUGAAAUACGGUUUUUCUGUCUCUUCUAGCUGCUUACGGGCCGCAUUAGCUGGUUGGUGCGGUAACGGCCUAUCACGGCGACGAGGCGUAGCCGACCGGUGAGGGUGAUCGGCGACACGGGAACUGGGCCACGGACAAGAGUCCUACGGGAGGCAGCAGUCGGGAAUCUUCCGCAGUGGGCGAAAGCCUGACGGAGCAAGGCGGCGUGAGUGAUGAAGGUCUUGGGAGCGUAAAACUCUGUUAUUAGGGAAGAACAAAUGUGUAAGUAACUAUGCACGUCUUGACGGUACCGAAUCAGAAAGCCACGGCUAACUACGUG